rnacentral:rRNA from 1 species
UACGAGGGGGGCAAGCGUUGUUCGGAAUUAUUGGGCGUAAAGGGCGCGUAGGCGGUGCGGUAAGUCACCUGUGAAACCUCUAGGCUCAACCUAGAGCCUGCAGGCGAAACUGCCGUGCUUGAGGGUGGGAGAGGUGCGUGGAAUUCCCAGUGUAGCGGUGAAAUGCGUAGAUAUUGGGAGGAACACCGGUGGCGAAGGCGGCGUUCUGGACUGCAACUGACACUGAAGAACGAAAGCCAGGGGAGCAAACGGG